UAGGGAAUCUUCGGCAAUGGACGAAAGUCUGAACGAGCAACGCCGAGUGAGUGAAGAAGGUUUUCGGAUCGGAAAACUCUGUUGUUAGAGAAGAACAAGGACGUUAGUAAUUGAACGUCCCUUGAAGGUAUCUAAAUAGAAAGCCACGGCUAACUACGUGCCAGGAGCUGCGGUAAUACGUUGGUGGCAAGCGUUGUCCGGAUUUAUUGGGCGUAAAGCGAGCGCAGGCGGUUUCUUAAGUCGGAUGUGAAAGCCCCCGGCUCAACCGGGGAGUGUCAUUAGAAACUGGGAGACUUGAGUGCAAAAGAGGAGAGUGGAAUUCCAUUUGUAGCGAUGAAAUGCGUAGAUAUAUGGAGGAACACCAGUGGCGAAGGCGGCUCUCUGGUCUGUAACUGACGCUGAGGCUCGAAAGCGUGGGGAGCAAACAGG
rnacentral:rRNA from 1 species